rnacentral:lncRNA from 1 species
GGACAUUUUUCAUUCUCACAGAGUAGUGCAUUGCGAUCUGAAACUGCAGAACAUUCUGGUAACCAGCAGUGGACAGAUAAAGCUUGCCACAUCUAUAGUUUUCAGAUGGCCCUUACCUCGGUGGACCUACCACAGGCAAAAAUCUGCUCUAUGAAAAAUUGAAGAUGAAAGAAAAGGAGGUUAUGUCAUUUCUGCACAACUUAGAGAUGGAGUACACUGAGGCCCGAGAGAACAACCAGGAGCUCAAGAAGGAGAUAAAUGUCUAUCGUAACCUGCACAGCCGGCUCCUGAUGGAGAAGAAUCUUAUAAAGAAGAAGUUGGUGAUAUUGAAGCAGGAGAGCAAGAAAGUACAGACUGAUUGGGCCCUCAUUCAUCAAUAUUUGGUGGAUUUGCACCUGAGUGGUAAAGAUGAACAGGAGAAGACCAGCAACCUUGAGACUCAAGAACAUCAGGUCUCAGAAACUUCAAGAGAGCUGGGAUUGCCCACAGCCCAAGAAUAGAGCAUCCUGCAGAAUAAAUUGCCACCCCAAGAGCCCCCUGCUGAGCACCAUCCCCAGCAUCCACAAUCUUCCUUGGAUGAAUCUUCUUCCAUAGAGUUCAUUUCCUUAGGGUGAAUAGGCCCUAACUAGGAAGCCAUGGCUGACUCAGGGUGUUAUUCCCUUUUCUCUUCAGACAACUCCCCUUGGCAGAGAACUGAGGUUAUUGCACUGCCACCAAGUGUCCAGGAGGAGUAACAGGCUGUAGGUCUGUGCUGCUAAAUGUGCAGAAAGAGAAAGCAGCUGAACAAUAAUUUCAUGUUAGAGUUUUGGUUGAAGUUUUGCUUUUUGUUCUUUGAGUUGUUGCUAUGUUAUUUAGAAGUUAUAUGUGCUUGUUCUUGUUUUUCUUUUUUCUUUUUUUUUGCUUUUACCUCUAUAUUAAUUGAACUUUUAAAACCUGUUUUUUGUUCUUUUUAAAAAAUCUAUUUCUUAUGAAUAAAAAUUGAUUUGCAAG